rnacentral:rRNA from 1 species
GCCAGCCCGCUCAGAAACUCAAAGGAAGUGGACGGGGCCCGGCACAAGCGGAGGAGCAUGUGGUUUAAUUCGAUGAUACGCGAGGAACCUUACCUGGGCUCGAACGUAAGAUGACUGUAGGUGAAAGCUUACAUCUCUUCGGAGCAUUUUACGAGGUGCUGCAUGGUUGUCGUCAGCUCGUGCCGUGAGGUGUCGGGUUAAGUCCCAUAACGAGCGCAACCCCUACCUUUAGUUGCCAUCAGGUAAUGCUGGGGACUCUAAAGGAACUGCCUACGCAAGUAGUGAGGAAGGCGGGGAUGACGUCAAAUCAGCACGGCCCUUACGUCCAGGGCUACACACGUGCUACAAUGGCCGAUACAGAGGGCAGCUACCUGGUGACGGGAUGCAAAUCUCCAAAGUCGGUCUCAGUUCGGAUCGGAGUCUGCAACCCGACUCCGUGAAGUUGGAUUCGCUAGUAAUCGCGCAUCAGCCAUGGCGCGGUGAAUACGUUCCCGGGCCUU